UACGAAGGGGGCUAGCGUUGUUCGGAAUCACUGGGCGUAAAGCGCACGCAGGCGGAUUGAUAAGUCAGGGGUGAAAUCCCGAGGCUCAACCUCGGAAUUGCCUUUGAUACUGUCUAUCUUCGAGUUCGGGAGAGGUUGGCGGAAUUCCUAGUGUAGAGGUGAAAUUCGUAGAUAUUAGGAAGAACACCAGUGGCGAAGGCGGCCAACUGGCCCGAUACUGACGCUCAUGUGCGAAAGCGUGGGGAGCAAACGGG
rnacentral:rRNA from 1 species